CAUAUAUAGACAACCAAAUAUAUCGCCGCAGCAGCAACGCCGCCCGCCGCUGGGGCCAUGGCGCCGGCCCGAGCCGCUGUCCGCCUCGCCCAACCCUCCUCAUCCUGAUCUUGAACGGCGACCGUGACCUACCGGCAGGGCCACCACGGCCUCCCCUCCUCUGCUCCCACUACUCUCCCUGCCUCCCGUCUCCCCGAGCUGCGCGGGCGCAGAUCGCUUCCCCCGCUGCCGGAUCCGGCACCGCGUGUUCGGCUUCUUCAGGGAUGCAGGCGUCCCGUUCCAUCCCCUCUGUCAUGGAGACCUACAACCUCGACGACGUCGUCACCGCCUGCGACCUCCGCUCCGCCAUCUCCAAGCAGGUCCGCAAGAACCAGGGCGUCUCCGACCCCAAGGUGCCCUCCCCCCUACCCAAUCGAUCUGCCUCUCGUGAAUGGAUUGAUUGGAUGACGCGAAAUUUGCGUUCUUCUCAGACCCUGUCGCUGUCCGAUCCUCCCAAGGGGCAACUUGCUGCAUACGCGUUUUUUUCUUUUCUGGUUAGGAAUGGGCAAAUCGUUGAUGCAUCAUCGAUAGGUUUGUUGUAUUGGUAGCUUUUCUAGUUCACGAUGAACUGUUCACCUAAUCUGCGGGAUUACUCGUCUAGAAACCUAGAGGGGUUGUUUACAAGGGUAGAGAACAUUUCGUGGUUCCUCUUAUCUGGUCAAUGAUGUCCAUCACUUUAGUAACCAUGUGUCACAGCUCACAGGUAAUCUUGAUCUCAUCAGCUAAUGAACCACCAUGUUCGGCCGCCAUAAGAGUUCUCAAGUUAAUUUUGUGGUUUGGUUCUUUAGGUGCUACUCCUUCCCUUUCUUUGUUGUUGAUGGUGGCGCCCAUUGGAGCUCUAGCAGCGAUCUGGACGCAACAUUUGGACAGCCUGGACCUUGGUCUCAUUGAUCUGCAGGACUCCUCCCCGGUUAGCGCUGAGUUGAUGCACAACAUAAUAAAUGCCCUAUUUUUGACCUGUUCUACAUACUCCUGCAGUCUGAACUCAUGGGAACAUCUGGUACCUGAACUGGUAGAUGACCAACAACCCCAUGGCAUAUGGUGAAACUGCUAUUAAGAAGGCAAAAAAUGGAUACUGGAAGUGCAUAGGUAAUGUUGUUGAGAAAAAUUAGUCCGGAGUUUUAUGAAAGCCAAGUGUGAUCUGGUAUGAGAACCAGGUGGGGGUGAUGCAUGAAUAUCAGGUAGAACAUAAUGAUGAAGCUGAUGUACCACAGGGUUGCAAGUCUUGGUGUACAAUAUUGUUGCAGGAAACAAAAAAUAAACUCCCAAGAUCCUAUACUCUUUUAAUUGAAGUGAAGCAUUACCAGUACUCCACAAGCUAACUCAUCUGUAUCGAACAGCGGAGCAUGCAAGAGACGAGGAGGAAGGGGGGAUUAGGAGACGACCACCUCUCACCAACAUCUCAAACAUCUGCAAGGACCCAAGCUCUUUGCCAAUGUUGGAACCUAGAAGACCAAGCACCUAGGCUAUUGUUUAGACUACCAGAUCCCAUGGGGGAGAAAUUUCAGGGAGCUUCGGGGGAGCUUAGGGGACCAAACUCCAUCUCCAAUCAGUUCAAGACAUCCCCAGCCAAUCUGGUGAAACCUUGUAUUUCAUGGCAUCAAAAAAGAAAUUUCGGGGAACUUAGGCGACCGAAAUCUAUCUCUGAUUAGUUUAAGACAUCCCAACCAAUUAAGUGAAAUGUUGUACGUCAUCCGAUGCAUGGUUGAAGUGUGAAAUAUUAGGAGAGGAAAAGGGGAACAUCCGUUUAUUUUAAGUUGGUCAUUAUUCCUUA